GAGUUCAGAUUCGGAUCGCAGUCCCGAUUAUCCUCCCCUCCAGCCUCUCCCUUUCUCGUUGAAGGGUUAAUACAGCGUCCUCUCCCCUCGCCACCCGACAGAGGCGCCUACACUGGCG
rnacentral:misc_RNA from 1 species